rnacentral:rRNA from 1 species
UGGGGAAUUUUGGACAAUGGGGGAAACCCUGAUCCAGCCAUCCCGCGUGUGCGAUGAAGGCCUUCGGGUUGUAAAGCACUUUUGGCAGGAAAGAAACGUCGCGGGUUAAUACCCCGCNAAACUGACGGUACCUGCAGAAUAAGCACCGGCUAACUACGUGCCAGCAGCCGCGGUAAUACGUAGGGUGCAAGCGUUAAUCGGAAUUACUGGGCGUAAAGCGUGCGCAGGCGGUUCGGAAAGAAAGAUGUGAAAUCCCAGAGCUUAACUUUGGAACUGCAUUUUUAACUACCGGGCUAGAGUGUGUCAGAGGGAGGUGGAAUUCCGCGUGUAGCAGUGAAAAUGCGUAGAUAUGCGGAGGAACACCGAUGGCGAAGGCAGCCUCCUGGGAUAACACUGACGCUCAUGCACGAAAGCGUGGGGAGCAAACAGGAUUAGAUACCCUGGUAGUCC